UACAGAGGUGGCAAGCGUUGUUCGGAAUUACUGGGCGUAAAGGGCGCGUAGGCGGUCUUGCAAGUCCUGUGUGAAAUCCCUCGGCUCAACUGAGGAACUGCACAGGAAACUGCUUGGCUUGAGUUCGGGAGAGGGAAGCGGAAUUCCGGGUGUAGCGGUGAAAUGCGUAGAUAUCCGGAGGAACACCGGUGGCGAAGGCGGCUUCCUGGGAAGAUACUGACGCUGAGGUGCGAAAGCGUGGGGAGCAAACAGG
rnacentral:rRNA from 1 species